rnacentral:rRNA from 1 species
UACAGAGGGGGCAAGCGUUGUUCGGAAUUACUGGGCGUAAAGCGUGCGUAGACGGUUACAUAAGUCGGGUGUGAAAGCCCCGGGCUCAACCUGGGAAUUGCAUUCGAGACUGCGUAGCUAGGGUGCGGAAGAGGGAAGCGGAAUUUCCGGUGUAGCGGUGAAAUGCGUAGAUAUCAGGAGGAAUACCGGUGGCGAAAGCGACUCUCUGGACGGCAACUGACGCUGAGGCACGAAAGCGUGGGGAGCAAACAGG